rnacentral:tRNA from 1 species
UCCCUGGUCGUCCAGUGGUUAGGACGCUGCGCUUCCACUGCAGAGAGCAUGCGUUCAACCCCGUGUCAGGGAA